UACAGAGGUGGCAAGCGUUGUUCGGAAUUACUGGGCGUAAAGGGCGCGUAGGCGGCCAUCUAAGUCAGACGUGAAAUCCCCCGGCUUAACCUGGGAACUGCGUCUGAUACUGGAAGGCUUGAGUAUGGGAGAGGGAUGUAGAAUUCCAGGUGUAGCGGUGAAAUGCGUAGAUAUCUGGAGGAACACCGGUGGCGAAGGCGGCAUCCUGGACCAACACUGACGCUGAGUGAGCGAAAGCCAGGGGAGCAAACGGG
rnacentral:rRNA from 1 species